CUGGAUGGGGCUUUGGGCAGCCUGGUCUGGUGGGAGGUGUCCUGCCCAUGGCAGGGGGUUUGACACCAUAUGGUCUUUAAAGUCCCUUCUAACCCAAACCGUUUUAUGAUUCUUUGAAUACAUUUGGACUUUUCUUCCUUGCAAAACUCGUAGAGCAUCUUGUUACAUGCUUAGAAAUAACAUGGAUUUAUGAAGGCAUACAGAAAGAAUGGAUGUAGUGAACCUUUAUUAAGACUCUCUGAAAACUUAAAAAUAAAUAGUUAAAAAUUAGGAAAAAAAAAUCAGGUUGUGUUUACUUCCAGUCAUAGACUGUGGUUUUCAGUCAGCUGGUUUAUGAGAGAGUUGGGACUGAAAGCUGUGUUUUUCUUAACUGGUUCAGCCUCUCCUAUACGUGACCAGCAUGGAUCCAGAACCUGCAAGAUACUGAUAAAUCUAUCAGAAGCAAAGGCAUUCAUCAUCUCAUAGAAAGUGCUCAUUGUCUAGUAGCACGAGGCCACGAUGUUUGUACAGUCUUCUAAAUUGGUGAAAGCAUUAAUUACACUGAAUAAUGGUAACCCUGGUAUCUUGGCAGACAUCUGAAACCUUGGAUAAUUAUAGUUUCUGUUAAGCAGAUUUUAGUUCUUCUCUGGAUUUUGAGUUUAGGGGACAGAAAUAAUUUUCAGAUAACCCAGUGUGAAUGGCUGCAAGUUUACCUGAGCUAAAAUGACUGAUAUACAGGACUAAAUGACUUUUUCUAAUGACUUCUGAUGAGAUCAUGUAUUUUUCCUAACUCUGAGGAGAUGGAAAGCAUUGAAAUUCAGUGCAAAAACAAACCAAACAAACUUGCAAAACACACUUUUAGCAAAGGAGUGCAACAUAAUGGAACAUGAAAUUAAAGGAAAAAAUGGAAUCAGUCUUGAUGAGGAUUGGAAAAUCUACAUGUCAGCAAAAAUAAACUUGUUACUUAAUAAGGUUAAUAAUAGAUAAAGUCCCCUAAAGAUAAAUUGUUAUCACAGUUGACGACCAUUUUAUUAAAAUGUUAAUGGCCUGAGGCAAAAGCAAACUGUUCCCUUAAUCUGCCAGAAGAACUGCUUUCUCAGGAAUUAUAUACGCCAGAGCACUUGGGAUCUGAGCUAACUGUAAUAAGCAUGUUUGAAAACUGGAGCAUCCACAGCUUGUGAAAUUGUGACUAAAAAAGAGCGGGUCUCACAUGUCUCAAAAUGGCUGUGUCCUUCUCUGCCAAACAAAACUUUCACUUGCAUUUUAGAAUGAAAGUCUGUCGGAUUCAAUUGCUGCAGUCAAAACAGCUGAAAUGUCAGUGACUGAAGAAAGGAUUUUCUCUUUGCCUUCUCCAUACAAACUGUGAAAGAGGUGUAGCUUAACAAAUACAAUUCCUGUGGUAGCAGACAGAAUGAAAACAAGUUUUCAUCAGCAUCUCUAAGCAUGGCAAAACUACGAAGCAACCUGGCAAGUAUGCUAAGCAUUCAUUGAAUUGUGAUGGAUUGCAGUAUGAUUUGUUUGGGCUGAGAACAUCAACAAAAAACCUGUGCAGGAUUUGACGAAAGCUCAGCUGUAUGGAGAGACUUUUUCUGUGAGCAUAGUAUCAGCUCAAAACACAAAGGAGCUGAUGAAGUUGAGUUCACAUCCUAUCUUUCCUUGUGACACAUGAAAUGCAUAUUCCCUAAAGCCUUUGGACACCUGAGCAAUGAGAAUGGAAAGAGAGCAACCCCAAAUGUGUGUUGCCUGUUUAGAGUGGCCCCACAGCAGCAUGUGCAAGUCUGCCCUGUGCAUGGGAGGUUGGAGGACAGCAGAAAUAGAAGAAAAUUGGAUAUCCCAGACUCCGUCUUCUGCUGAGGACUCAGCUGAAUCAAGCACUUUAGUUUGCAUACUUCGUGCCCCUGACUGGAUGUUCCAUGCCAAGAGCUGCUUACUGUCUCCAGUGCUUGGAGAAAGCUCGCCCCCUUUCUCAAAGACUAAACCAAAUAUAUUCUGUUCACUGUAUGCUAAUUAAGAAAUAAUGGACGCAGCAAAAGGGCAUUUCCUGGGGAUUAAUGACUGGCUGGGUGAGUGGAUGGCCUGAGACUUUUAAUUAGAAGUGCAAGCUUCCUCUGUUCUGUCACAGGAACUUCCAUUUAAAUUAGGUUCUAUUGAAUUCAGAGGUUUUUCAUGGCACUGAGUUCACCAGUGCUGACAGGUCCGUGCCCCCCCAGUUUAAUGGGUGGCAAAGCACACUAGAAAGAUAGCUUUCAACUGUCUCAUGGCUGUGAGAGUAUUGCUUCUACGAGUGUGUCCAAAGAUGCCCAUUUGUUCUGCUGGGGCCUUCAAAAAUUUUUCACUGGUUCACCUGUGGUAGUGAAAGAGUUGUUUUCAAAGUUGUGGAUGUGGGAGGUCAUGUCAGAGGAUCCUGUCCAUUGGGAGUCUAUGCUGAACCCCUUCACAGCCCAUCACCUAUGUAGAGAUGGGGAAGGGGGGGGGGAGCGGGUAGGAGGUGGAUUUGUGGAAGGAAUGAGAAAAAGAAAGUAUAUGGAAACCAGGGAUGUGUCUUGCCAAACAAAAAUAGGAGAAGCUUCUUUAUGUGCUGAGUGGGCCAUGGCAAUGGCAAUGGCAUAAACCUAAGAUAAGUAAAACUCCUUGAGUUUGGUUCCUUAAAAGCAAAAGAAAAGCAAAAGAAAACACAACUGUUAUGCGUUUUUGCUGUUGAAAAUCCAAGAUCUUUGCCUUGCCUGAGCAGAGGUUAUGCUAUAUGCGACCUUUGUUCCAAUCAAAGAGUAAAGCCCCAAGGCUUUAAAGAGCUGCUGCCAAAGGCAGCAUCUGUGUAGCUCGGUCAGGUCUGGGCAGGAGACCUGUUGGUCACAGCAGACCUGAGCUGGACCCAAGGCAGAACUCUGGAGUUACCUCUGUUGGGUGUGGAAGUGCCCAAACAUCUCCAACACAUGCCUGCCUGUCAUUGCUGAGCUGGGACGUUAUUUUCAUCUUCAGCUCUUCCAGAGCUUGUGCUCUAUCUCCCUUUAGUACUCAUUAGCAAAACAAAAGCAGGAUCAGGCCCUAAAUUUAUGGAAAUUAAAUGCUGUCAAAUCUGUUUAACUCCUCUAGGACUUUUUCACAACUUUAUUAUAGUUGCAUCAGAGGCUGAUUUGUUAGGAAAUAGUAACAUAUUUUCUGCUCCCCCUCUCAUAGCACUACUGUACAGAAACUGCUCUGACAGGGAACAAAAAUCUCAGGCUGAAUCAAGAAAACAAGUCAUCGUGCAUUUAGACUGCUAAAAUACAUUAUUGGAAAUAAAUUCAGUGUUAUGCUGAAAGUCAGCAAUGAAAUCUCAUUGAAGAUGGUGGGUGAGAAAGCCUCCCUUCCCUAAGGAAAAGCCUAAAAAUUGCCUUUUUUAUGGAACAUGCUCACUGAAACCCCAGGAGCCACACAUACCUACCACACCGCACACGCCUGGCAGCUCUGAGAGGUGGGGGCUGAGGCAUUUCUCCAGGAUCUGGCUCUAGGGACAAGGUGGCAUAUGAUGAAACUGAGCAGUUCAGAAAGCGACAGCAGAAACAUCAGAGAAGCAGACAGAAGAAGUUGCAAGGACACACCAGAGCCAGCGAGGAAAAUCCUUGUGGCCUGACCCUGAGAAAAAGCUAAAAGUGAGCAAGCUUGGGUUCUGGCUCAAAAGAAGCUUGGAAGUGUGAAAAGGGAAAGCACCGCCUUUUGUUUUGACUCCUGCUGUGCCCAGAGUAACAGGACAUUGUGUACAUUCUUGCUAAAUAAACAGAAGCAUAUUAACAAACACAA